ACUCCUACGGGAGGCAGCAGUAGGGAAUCUUCCACAAUGGGCGCAAGCCUGAUGGAGCAACACCGCGUGAGUGAAGAAGGGUUUCGGCUCGUAAAGCUCUGUUGUUAAAGAAGAACACGUAUGAGAGUAACUGUUCAUACGUUGACGGUAUUUAACCAGAAAGUCACGGCUAACUACGUGCCAGCAGCCGCGGUAAUACGUAGGUGGCAAGCGUUAUCCGGAUUUAUUGGGCGUAAAGAGAGUGCAGGCGGUUUUCUAAGUCUGAUGUGAAAGCCUUCGGCUUAACCGGAGAAGUGCAUCGGAAACUGGAUAACUUGAGUGCAGAAGAGGUAGUGGAACUCCAUGUGUAGCGGUGGAAUGCGUAGAUAUAUGGAAGAACACCAGUGGCGAAGGCGGCUACCUGGUCUGCAACUGACGCUGAGACUCGAAAGCAUGGGUAGCGAACAGGAUUAGAUUCCCCUGGUAGGAUAGCG
rnacentral:rRNA from 1 species